rnacentral:rRNA from 1 species
UACGUAGGGUGCGAGCGUUAAUCGGAAUUACUGGGCGUAAAGCGUGCGCAGGCGGUUUUGUAAGCCAGAUGUGAAAUCCCCGGGCUCAACCUGGGAAUGGCAUUUGGGACUGCAAGGCUUGAGUGCGGCAGAGGAGACUGGAAUUCCUGGUGUAGCAGUGAAAUGCGUAGAUAUCAGGAGGAACACCGGUGGCGAAGGCGGGACUCUGGGCCGAUACUGACGCUGAGGAGCGAAAGCGUGGGGAGCAAACAGG